AAACUGCACAAACGGAAGCUUGAAAAGAAAAGUUGUUAUAGUCUAGGCAUCUCCAAUAUUCAUCUAGAAAACGAGACAAAAGCAAACUCUUCACUGUGACUACACUUACUUUACAGCUCACACAGUUUAACCAGAGCCAGGGGUAACUUUGUGAAAUCCACAGAUCUAUCUGCUCUUAUGCUAAGGUAACUUCUCUAAAAGUUGAUUGUUCUUUAAAACCUGAUAUAAUCUACACAGUAUAGCUUGGUGUUCUAACAACGUGGAAUCACACACAAUCACUGUAAUACACACACACACAUACACACACCCCAAUACCUCUCCUAAUAAAACUACAGCAAGUUUCCUUUCCUAAUGAUUUUAAAAACCAAGCAUGUAUAACAAUAGUUCAACAUGACAAAGAGUGGAUAUAUAUUAUUGAACAGACACCAAGAUUAGGAAACACAUUUGGAUACUUGAAAAGACACUAUUAAAAAAACAAAACAAACAAAAAAAAACCUACCAAAAACCAAAACCCCCACAAAGCCCAAGCACUGCCCCCAGAUUCGAAGUGUGUUUAACGCCGACUCCCCUGAAAGACCUAUUACCAAACAACAACAAAACAUCACGAUGGCAAAUAUUAGGAAUUUAUUAAAACCACUGUCUCCAACGGUACAAAAAUUAAAUAUUAAGGCAUCUUAUACUCUCAUCCUGACCUAUGCAGCAAAGAGAAUUAUCUUAAAUAAGAGCUAGCACUUAUUCAAAUGCUUUUCUAACGUAUUUGGCAAAUUUGUUGUUUUUGUUUUGUUCGGUGUACGGUCAUGCAUGCAAGUGUACCUGGUAUUUGUAUGUGUGUGCAAACGGGUGUAUGCACAUGUGCUUGCCUGUUGAGGCCAGAGAUUUAUGUUCUACAUCUUCCUCUAUUGCUCUCUACCUGAACCAGGUGCUCAGUGACUCAGCCAGACUGUCAGGGCAGCAAGCUGGGGAAUCCUCCUGUCUCUGCCUCCCCAGCUCUGCGUCUCAGGUCAUGCCCCGCUUUUUAUGUGGCUGUUGGGGAUCUGAACUCAGGACCUCAGGCUUGCACAGCAAACCUUUACUGACUGAGCCACUUCUCCGGCCCCUCACUUUUCUUCUUAUAUUCUUUUAUUAUUCACAUAACUGAAAGCAUUCAUGAUCACACACCGGCAUCCAGUCCGAGAGAAAAGCAUAAACAGUUAUCAAUUUAUUAAGGAGAAGCAGUUUCCUGCUGAAAAUGAAGAGGAACUACACAGAGAAUCAUAUAAAGCCCAACUCCAGUACUCAGAUACUCUGAAGCAACUUACGCUUUGUUAUCUAAGUAAAAGGAGGUGACGCUCAUCAUUACGGGUCGUUCGAGGAAUGCCAGAGACUCAGCACUGGGCUCUUCUGAACUGAGAGUUCAAACACGGCUUUGUUGGCCUUUAAAAAUGAUCACAUCGCUUGGCCCAGAUGGUUAAGUUACCACUGACUUCCCUCUGUGGAGCCAUCCACCGGCCAUGAUGCUCAGGAGCUUCAGAAAGUACUCUGAACAAGUUACACUUUGACCUUUUAUUAAGGCAAGUUUGUGAAAAUAAUUUACUACAGCCAAACCUCGUCAUUGACUUUCCACUUGUGUGUUUUUCAAGACACUCACAAAAGAACAUGUCCUGUAAAAAGCCACUCAGUAACAGAGAAAAAAGUAAGGAGAGAUGCUGAACCAGGCCGCUUUUCAAAGGCUGCUCUUGCUUGGGCGGCAGGUGCUUGCUACUCAUCAUCUUUAGAGCCAGUUUUGCUUAACUGCUUCACGACGUCAACCCAGUUCCAGCCGCGAGGCAGCUCCCCUUUGUGAUCUGGGGGACAAAAUCAGUAACGUUACUACAACCAGCAUAAGUGAACUGAUAGCUUAGCAAAGAGUACUUUUUACAACAUUGAUGGCAAGUUGGCUUCACACACUACUAACUUAGAAAAUAGUGUCUCAGUAGCUUUGUGACCUUAAAGCUCCGUCCUGGAGGCACCUGCCAAGUACUUGAGACAUGCCCCCUUUACAUUUACCCCUCAUCCAGUCUCGAUGAAACCAAGGGGAAGCAAGCGGUAAGACUGAGGACACACUGCGCCCACGCAUGUGCACAGUCCUGCUUCCCACGAGCCCAGUGCUCAUCUGAGGGUGGAGUUGCCCUGGCUCACUGUUUCAGGGGUCUCACCAGGGCCCUCGGCUCGGAAUAGGAGAGACUGUGUCGACUAAAGUUCGUCUUCAGGACUAAGAGGACUGCAAGUUAACUUCUGCAUAGCUUGGCCAUGCUCUGACAAGACAUUAUCCGACAUUCUCCAAAAGGCGGUUCAGUCUAUUGCAGCGUUUCUCAACCUGUGGGUCACGACCCCCACAGAGGUCAAAUAUCAGAUCUUUACAUCACCAUUCAUAACAGCAACAAAAUUACAGUGAUGGAAUAGUAAUGAAAUACUUUUAUAGUUGGGGUGGGGGUCACCACAACAUGAGGAAUUGUAUUCAAGGAUCGCAACAUUAGGAAGGCUGAAAACUGAUGCUCUGUUGAGGAUGCUUGGGACAAAGCUCACAAGGUCUCAUAUAUAAAUGAGUGGUUUAAUCUAGGUUCUCUGCAUAUAUAUCUUGUGUAGCUUGGUGUUCUUGUGAGAUUCCUGUGGGAGUGGAAGCUGUCUUUGACUCAUUUGCCUGCCUGUGGGACUCUCUUUCUACUGGGUUGCCUCGUCAGGCCUUGCUGUGAGAAUCUGUGCCUGGUCUUACUGUAGCUUGUUAUGCAGUAU
rnacentral:lncRNA from 1 species